rnacentral:rRNA from 1 species
GUAAAAGACAUUUAUAUAAAAGAAAGACGAUAGACCCCUAUUGAACUUAACUGUAGUUAAACUGGGGCAGUAAAUUAAUUAUCAUUUUAAUAAAACUUAUUAUAUAAAUAUCUUUUAAAAUUAAAUAAUUCAGYYACCAUAGGGAUAACAGCGUAAUAAUUUUCUAAAGCUCUUAUUUAAAAUAUAGAUUACGACCUCGAUGUUGAAUUAAUAACCUAACUAAGGCAAAACUUAGAAUAGGAAGUCUGUUCGACUUUUAAAAAAUUACAUGAUUUGAGUUCAGACCGGUGUAAGCCAGGUCGGUUUCUAUCUUCUAGAAAAAUUUUUACAGUACGAAAGGACCUAAGA